GCCCAGCCAACGGUGAUUAAAUGGCAUUUCUCAGCAUGCAGGUUGGAGCAUUAUUAGCUCUUAUCUCUAAUUGCCAUCAUUUUGAAAGUGUUUUGAACAGAUGGCUCUAAGAGAAUAAGAGUGAAAAGAGAUCUUUUUAUACCUUUGACAAACAAAAAGUGCUUGCUGGGAUGCCAGCUCCAAGUUGUGGGGUUAAAUGUGGGGAAAACGGACCAAGUAUUACUCUGGCUUCUGCAGGGAAGGUAACGAGGGAUAACAGGGACACCCAGAGUACCCAGGAUGGUUCCCCACUCACUGCCUGUUUGCUGCUAGGGGCGCUGUGAUGCACCUUGCACUGCUGAGCACAUCCCUUUGCCACAUGGGUACCUGCACCACAAGGAAGGAUUCAGCCCCCUCCAGUUACCUGCAGUGUGCUCAGGCUUUUUGUUCACCUACUGCUCCAGGUGCACCUGUAUUAAGUCAUUACCUUUCAGGAAACAGCAUCUACUUCCAAAACAAAAUGAGAAUCGUCUGACUUCAGGCUGGUGACAACCUCCAUCCCCUGGAUCCCCACAGGGCUGAUACAGCAUCGCUCUCCCAGGCUCCAGGUCAGCAAAGGCACAUAAGCACCAGCGUCAGUCUGUUGCUAUUCACUGAAGCAAUUAAACACAUGCUAAGUUUUAAAGGUAUGAUUGUUACAUUAAAAUCAAUAGGGCCCAAGAGCGCGCCUAGAUUAAACACGUUUCUAAACCCAGCUGGAGUUUAGAAAAGCAGCUCCAUGACUAGAUGACUAUAUCCCAGCAAAGCUUGGGGAGCUCAGGGGGUGCAGUCCAUGGGCUUGCAGGCUGUGCUGGGUAUGGUGGCAUGUGCCAAUGGGCGCCUGAGCUGCAACCUGAGCAAAUCCAGCCUGCCUAUGCCACGUAAUAGGAUGCAUCUCACUUAUGUCUGGACCUGAGACUACUGCACAGGGUAGGCAUGUCUGUAAACAUCAGUGUAAAUGCUGUCUGCUUCCUUUACCACUUUAUGAAUUCAUUUAUAUGAGUAGGAAGGACAGGAUGGAGGGCUAAGUCAGGGCAUGAGUAGGAUGCAAAAGCAAGCUUAGCUCUACACUUCUGUCUUUGGCUGGGCCUCACUCAAUAUCCUAGUGUGGCCCAUGUAUUUAUUUUCCUUAUUUGAAUUUGCAGCAAGAUUGCAAUGACCUCUGGCCAAUCUUGGCUGCUGAUUUCUAACUUCUAACCAAAAGCAAGCCUGCAGUUUCAUUUCUGAGCUGGGAGCAACUGGACUGCAGAAGGUGGAAGAAAACAGGGACAGGUAGGUGCCUAACCCAAGGUAUUGAUUUGGUGCUUCCUAUUCAUACCUCAUCUCAACUAUGGCACUUGGCUUUUAAGCAAAGUUCCAUUCAGUGCAAGUAUCUGCAGUUGGUCCAGUGGAAAUCAGUGUGAUGGGAUAAUAUGGGUAAUACUCGUAGCACAGCAUUUCUAUGAGACUGUGUUUAGAGACUGUCCCCCUCUUCUUAUCCAUAACAAAGGAUGAAA
rnacentral:lncRNA from 1 species